AUCCAGCUGAAGAGUCCAAAAUAGGACGAAACGCGUAUACUGGAU
rnacentral:hammerhead_ribozyme from 1 species